GAGCGCUCCCUCCGCAGCUGACGAUGACUGCGACCCCUGCUGAGAACCCGGACCUCAGACCAUGUCUGAUCCUGAAUGGCUCCAUCUUUUCUACCCUUUAACUUCUCCUCAGCUGGAUGUUCGUUCAUGGAUGUACACGCACGUCUGUGCAACAAGACUGGCUGCUGCUUUCUAGUCUCCACCUGCGUCGUUUGGAAAUAAAAUGACUCCGGAUUCUCAGGGAACGCCAUACAGGAUCUUUGCCUUUGGACGUAAACUGUGAUAUAAUCUGUUUAAAGAGGAGGAUAACCAUGCAGCAGACCUACUUCUAUGUGGAUUUGAUUUUCUGCGCGCUGGAGCGGUGGAGCCAUAUCACCAAAAGGCUGGUGUUCAAUAGCUUCUAAAGGCAGCAUCACGACCGAGAGGGAGGAUUAUAGAGUCUGGAGGAGCCUGCUGAAUUUACCCGCUGGAUAAAGUGAAGUUUCCGAGCUAGGCUGGGCGGCUGUGGUCUGUAUUUUUAACACCUCGAUGCGUUGGGCUCUGUGGCUUCACACUAAGUGGAAAUCAAGCUAUUUUCAACGAGCAGCCCUUUCCGUCGUGUGAUGAUGACUACGGUGAUGGUGAUGAAGCGCAGGAUGGAUCCGGAGAGGAUACCAGGAGCUUAGGGGAUGACAUCCACCCUCUCUGGCUGAAUGUGGGUAUCCGUGCCGCGGCGAAGGAUGGGAAGGAUGGGCCCUCUCCUCCUCUCGGCCGCCUGCGUCCUCCUGCUGGCCCCGCGCGCCGCCCGUCCGGCCUCGGUGGGAAACCCCGAGGAUUACGCCGCAGAGGAGGCGGAGCGGCCGGCCGGCGACAACAUCGUGUUCGAUGACUACCGGGGGAAAGGCUGCGUGGACGACAGCGGCUUCGUGUACAAGCUGGGAGAACGCUUCUACCCGGGACACUCGAACUGUCCGUGUGAAUGCACGGAGGACGGGCCCGUGUGCGACCAGCCGGAGUGCCCCAAACUGCACCCCAAGUGCACCAAAGUGGAGCACAAUGGCUGCUGCCCCGAGUGCAAGGAGGUUAAAAACUUCUGCGAGUACAGAGGAAAAACCUACAAAAUCCUGGAGGAAUUCAAGGUGUUUCACCUACAGGGCUCCCCGUCAGACGAGGAAGGGACCGCCCCCCCCAGCAUGGCUGCCGGCGUGCCUCAGGCCUCAGCGCAGCUGCAAUCAAGAGCCCGGAGUUCUAGGCCGUCGCCCUGUGAAUGGUGCCGCUGCGAACCAAAUAACGAGGUGCACUGCGUGGUGUCCGACUGCGCCGUCCCGGAGUGCGUGAACCCCGUGUACGAGCCGGAGCAAUGCUGCCCCAUCUGUAAAAACGGUCCAAAUUGCUUCGCUGGAACGACGAUCAUCCCAGCCGGGAUUGAAGUGAAGGUGGACGACUGCACCAUCUGCCGCUGCCACAACGGAGACUGGUGGAAGCCGGCGCAGUGCUUGCGGCGGGAGUGCCUCAACGGCCAGUCGUUGUCAUAGAGAGACUCCACCGGGAACGGUGGGAACGCUCAGGCAAGGCCCUGCCUACUGCACCAUUUUGUAUGAUUGACAGGGCAGGAGCACAAUUCCUAAGCAACCUGAGACGGCAUAGACGGAGGAGAUGCUCUCACAAGCUUCACACAAAAACAAAUUUAGCCACUGGGAAGAAGACGGAACCGAUCUCAUGACUGUUUCCACCCUCCAGUUUGAACCGUCCUAUAUAUUUUCAGAAAUUGACUUGCUUGACUUGCUGCUCUCACACAAGAAGUUUCUAAGCUCUUUGAACUCUUUCCUAACCAUUGGCAAUGAAGUAUUGCUCAUGUUGAUUUUCUCUAUCCUCCAUCCCUGCACAGCUCCACGGACAGGAAAGCUGCAGAUUUACCGUCUUUGUGUGUGUUUGUGAACGUCCAUCUCUCAUCAGCUUGUACAUGAGCAUUUUGUAAAGGCCAACCACCGCUCAUUCCACGAGACACCGACUUACUGUAGCUGGAACUAUGAAUGAUUGUUUUUCUUUGCUCCCUUCUUCUUCUUUCUUUCAGCAACGAAACUGUUAAAUGACGUGUGCCUGAAAACCAACACAGAGUAUCUGGAGAGAGAAACACUGUUAUUAUACAAUCAAUUGUAUUGAUUUUGGGGCACCAAGGGUCUGUUGAUGAGAGACUCAGAUGUUGGGAUCAUUUCUAUGACUCAUUUUAAAUUCAGAGACUCUUUGAUUGUAUAUGACUCCAUGCUCUGGGUUUACCCCCAGCUCAAAUAAAGGGUCUCAGUCUGAACAAGCUCAACAGCCCUUGGUGUUUCCCCAUGCUGUUCAUAUGUAAAUAUCUUCAAACAUAUGUGUAUUCUGA